rnacentral:rRNA from 1 species
GACGAACGCUGGCGGCGUGCUUAACACAUGCAAGUCGAACGGAAAGGCCCUGCUUUUGUGGGGUGCUCGAGUGGCGAACGGGUGAGUAACACGUGAGUAACCUGCCCUUGACUUUGGGAUAACUUCAGGAAACUGGGGCUAAUACCGGAUAGGAGCUCCUGCUGCAUGGUGGGGGUUGGAAAGUUUCGGCGGUUGGGGAUGGACUCGCGGCUUAUCAGCUUGUUGGUUGGGUAGUGGCUUACCAAGGCUUUGACGGGUAGCCGGCCUGAGAGGGUGACCGGCCACAUUGGGACUGCGAUACGGCCCAGACUCCUACGGGAGGCAGCAGUGGGGAAUAUUGCACAAUGGGCGGAAGCCUGAUGCAGCAACGCCGCGUGCGGGAUGACGGCCUUCGGGUUGUAAACCGCUUUCGCCUGUGACGAAGCGUGAGUGACGGUAAUGGGUAAAGAAGCACCGGCUAACUACGUG